rnacentral:Y_RNA from 1 species
GGCUGCUCUGAUGGUAGUGGGUUAUCAGAACUUACUCACAUCAGUGUUACUGAAGUUGGUAUACAACCCCCCACAGUUAAAUUUGACUGGCUUUUU